rnacentral:lncRNA from 1 species
UUCAACAAAUACGGGUUAUAAUGCUGGUUAUAAUACUGGUUAUAAUGGUAGUAGAGGAUUUAGAAAAAAGUACGAGAUGACUGAUAAAAUAAGUAAGAAUGUACUGAAGGUAUUAAACAGUAAAUUGUUUAUUGGUACUAUACAUUCUUUUUGUAGAUAUAUUCUUAUAAAAUAUAAAGGCCAUUUUAGAAUACUUACAGACAGUAUAAGUAAUAAUGUUAUAAAAUUAGCUUUUAAUCAUUUUUAUGCGCAAAUGCAAAAGGAGGUAAGUAAUGGAGUAAACAGUGGCACAAACAGUGGCACAAACAAUGGCACAAACAGUGGCACAAAAAGUGGCACAAAAAGUGGCACAAACAACGGAGUAAACAACGGUAUAAACAGUGGAGCCGUAAACAACGGUAUAAACAGUGGAGCCGUAAACAACGGUAUAAACAGUGGAGCCGUAAACAACGGUAUAAACAGUGGAGUCGUAAACAACACCAAACAAAAUAAUAUGUUCGACUUGACCCAAUUUUUUAAUUGCAUAAAAAAAAAUUUUACAAAAAAAGAACAACAGGAACUAGAAGAUGAGACAUUACAAGAAGAUGACGAUGAAGACAAAAUUGAAGAAAAUGAUUCAGAGAAUGAAGAAGAAAAUGAAUUUUACAAUUAUAUAUAUAAUUACAAUAAUAAUUACAAUAAUAAUUACAAUUAUAAUUACAAUAAUAAUAAUAAUAAUAAUAAUAAUAAUAAUAAUAAUAAUAAUAUAAAAGAUACAGAUAAUAUAGAAAAAAUAAAUAUUCCAUGUAUAUUAAAUAAAAAAAAUAUACAUUUUUUAAAAAAAAAAAUAAAAUUAAUGAAAUAUAUUGGAUUAUAUAAAAUAAAUGUAGAAGUAAAUGUAACUGAACAAAAUUUUUUUAAAGAAUACCAAAAUAUUCUUAAUAAAAGUAAAUAUAUUUAUUAUGAUUUUGAUGAUAUAAUAAUAGAAACAUAUAAAUUAAUGAGAGAUAACAUACAUAUAAGAAAUAAAAUUUUAAAAGAGUGGCAUCAUGUAUUUUGUGACGAAUUUCAAGAUAUUAACACUACCCAAUUUAAUAUUUUAAAAUUUUUUGCCAACUGUGAUGACAGUUGUUCAUCUAAUGUAACGACUGGCAACACAUCUAAUGUAACGACUGGCGAUACGUCUAAUGUAACGACUGGCGAUACGUCUAAUAAUCAAGUUCCCUACUUCCAAGACAAUACCACGACUUACCAAAACAAUACUACAACUUACCAAAACAAUACUACGACUUACCAAGACAAUACUACAACUUACCAAAACAAUACUACGACUUACCAAGACAAUACUACAACUUACCAAGACAAUACUACGACUUACCAAAACAAUACUACAACUUACCAAGACAUAAAUGAUAAAAAAUUACAUGAAAGAUGUAGCAGUAUUGAAUCAAAGUACGACCAAGAUAUUUAUAACAACUUUGGAAAUGGUAACACUAUGACAACAUUAAAUUCGGAUGAAAAUAGAAAUACUGUUCCGACAGGAGGUUUACUUAAUAGUGGUCAUGGUGGUGGGACAAGACACGAUCGUAGUUUGACUGUUAUUGGAGAUGAUGAUCAAUCAAUUUAUGCCUUUCGUGGAGCAAAUAUUAAUAUAUUUUAUAAAUUACUAAAAGAAUGCAAAUGUUUAUUAUUUAAACUUAGUACAAAUUUUAGAAGUACAAAAGAGAUUGUUAGAGUAUCGAAAAAUUUAAUUUUGCAUAACUCGUCUUAUCGAAUAAAUAAAAAUUUAUAUACUAACAAUAUAGAAGGUAAUAAAAUAAAAUUUCAUGUUUUUAAAACAUAUUCUGAUCAAAUAGCAUAUAUAUUAGCACAAAUAAUUUAUUUAAAAAAAGUAUAUAAUUAUAAAUAUGGUGAUUUUGUUAUUUUAUCAAGGACAAAUAAAACAUUAAACGAAACUAUAAAAUGUAUAAAUAAUUAUGAAACAAAAAAAAAGGCGUUGAAAUAUUAUUUAUCUAUGAGUAAUGUGGAACAAUCAACAGGCUCUAAACCCGAACAUAAACCUGAACAUAAAAAUGAACACAAAUAUGAACUGUGUAAUAAGUCCAACGACAGUUUAUCUACCACCGCUGUAGAACAAACUGAUUUAAAAACAAGUAUAUCCAUUGAUACUUUUCAAAUUGCAAUAAAAGGAUUAAACAAAAAAAAAUCUUUUUUUGGUUCCAAAGAAAUAAUAGAAUUAAUCACUUUAUUAAGGUUUUUACUUAAUGUAAACGAUGAUAUUAUUUUAAAAAAAAGUUUCCAAAUUGUGAAAAAUGAUAAAAAUAUAAAAAUUAUUAUAAAAAAAUUAAUAAUGUUACAAGAACAAAAAAUGAAAAUAAUACAUGGAGAAGAUAUUAAAUAUGUAGAUAGAAGUACUAAAAAUUUUAUAAAAGAAAAAGAACAAUCUGUAAAUAGUAAUACGGAUCCAUUAAUAAAUAAUCAGGAUGUAGUUUUUUCUGAUACUGUUCCUUUAUUCGAUCAAAUAAAACAUCUAACACAUUUAUAUAUUUUGUCAAAACAAAAAAAAAUAGACAACGAACAAUUACAACUACUCAAUAUUUUUAAUGAAAACGAAUUAAAAAGUCUUGUUGAUUUCUUUUUUUGUAUUAACUAUUUUUUAAAAAUACUUUCAGAUAAUAAUAAUGUUUAUAAUUUAAUUAUCGAAAUUUUAAAAAAAACAAAUAUUAUCAAAAGAAUAAUUGAUCGAGUUGAAAGAAAAAAAAAAAAAGAAAUGCAAAGUAGUUUGUUUACUGAUGAAGAAGACAUGCGAAAUUACAAAAAAAAAGUAACAGAAAAUAGGGGUAAUACUAAUAUACUGAAUGGGGUCACAACUGUAGGUAUUACCCCUAACAGUACUACCCCUAACAGUACUACCAUUAACAGUAGCACUACCACUAACAGUACUACCCCUAACAGUAGCACUACCACUAACAGUACUACCAUUAACCGUAGCACUACCAUUAACCGUAGCACUACCACUAACAGUAGCACUACCCCUAACAGUAGCAACGAAAAUAAUAAAACUGAUGUAGAUGAAAAAAAACACAUUUAACGAAGUUAAAAUCAAAAACGAUUUAAGUAAAUUGUUCAACCUAAAUGAUACAUAUAUGAAUUAUAAUAAUAUACAAAAUAUUUUUGUUUUUUUAGAAAUAGCGAAAGAAUAUAAACCUAAUUUAAUACAACAAACCUGCUCAAGUUGUUUAAUCAGUUUUUUAAAUGAAUUUAAAAAUAAUGUACAUGAGAAUAUGUUGAUUGAAAAAGUAACCAUAUCGACUAUACACAAAUCGAAGGGACUUGAAUGGAAAGUUGUUUUUAUUGUAAAUGUAAUCGAAAAAGAAAUACCUCAAGCUGUUGAACAUAAUCAAGAAAUUAUAGAAGAAAGAAAAAUUUUUUAUGUUGGUAUUACACGAGCAAAGUAUUUCUUAUAUUUGUUAUGUUACUUACAUAAUGCUCAUACUUCUGAAAAAAAUACUGUUUCUAGGUUUAUUCACCAGAUGGGAAUAUAAGCCACAAACCAUAAUCCGUAAGCAGUCGUAAAAAUGUAGUAGUUUAUGCCACGUAAAUAAUCUUAAUGAAAGACUUCCGUUAAAAAAAAAAAAAAAAUAAAUGUACAUAUUUUUGUA